rnacentral:rRNA from 1 species
AGAGUUUGAUCAUGGCUCAGAUUGAACGCUGGCGGCAGGCCUAACACAUGCAAGUCGAGCGCGAAAGCACUUCGGUGUGAGUAGAGCGGCGGACGGGUGAGUAACGCGUAGGAAUCUACCUAGUAGUGGGGGACAACUCGGGGAAACUCGAGCUAAUACCGCAUAAGCCCUACGGGGGAAAGCGGGGGACCUUCGGGCCUCGUGCUAUUAGAUGAGGCCUGCGUUGGAUUAGCUAGUUGGUGGGGUAAAGGCCUACCAAGGCGACGGAUCCAUAGCUGGUCUGAGAGGAUGAUCAGCCACACCGGGACUGAGACACGGCCCGGACUCCUNCNCCNAGNCAGCAGUGGGGAAUAUUGCGCAAUGGGCGAAAGCCUGACGCAGCCAUGCCGCGUGUGUGAAGAAGGCCUUCGGGUUGUAAAGCACUUUCAAUUGGGAGGAAAGGUUCACGGUUAAUAA